rnacentral:tRNA from 1 species
GCCCGGGUGGUGGAACUGGCAGACACAGGGGACUUAAAAUCCCUUGCCGCAAGGCGUGCGGGUUCGAGUCCCGCCCUGGGCA